CUGACUGGGUUCAAAUCCCAGCUCUGCCACCUUGAACAAGAUGAGAAAGAUAAGACCCCUAGGAGAUACAAGAUUUACCCAACAUCACAGGACCAGCCUAUCUGUGGUGCAGGAACGGGCAGCCUCAGUACAAGGAGACCCCGGCCUGGAGAAGUGAAGU